rnacentral:rRNA from 1 species
AUUGAACGCUGGCGGCAGGCUUAACACAUGCAAGUCGAACGAGUGGCGGACGGGUGAGUAAUGCUUGGGAAUCUAGCUUAUGGAGGGGGAUAACUACGGGAAACUGUAGCUAAUACCGCGUACCAUAGGAUGAGCCCAAGUGGGAUUAGGUAGUUGGUGAGGUAAAGGCUCACCAAGCCGACGAUCUCUAGCUGGACUGAGAGGAUGACCAGCCACACUGGGACUGAGACACGUCCCGGGCGCCGACGGGAGGCGUCAGUGGGGAAUAUUGCGACAUGGGGGCAACCGGACGCAGCCGUGCCGCGUGAGUGAAGAAGGCCUUCGGGUGGUAAAGUUCUUUCGGUAGCGAGGCGUUAACUACAGAAGAAGCACCGGCUAACUCCGUGACAGCAGACGCGGUAAUUC